CUAUAUUCAGUCCUGCCGGGGCAACCCGGCUAUGGCAAUAAACGGCCAUCGCAAUAAGCCUAUCGGACCCGGGGGCAGUACCCGGCGCCUCCACCAUCAGCCUCGCGCCGCGCGGGGCUGAUGAUGGGGGCGAAACAGGAUCGACGAGGGUGUAAAGGGUGUUCUUUUGCUCGGCAUGGUUCCGCCGUUAUCGGGCCGUCUCAAUAGUUGCCAACGACAACUAUGCUCCGGUCGCCGUUGCCGCGUAAUGCGGUAAAGGUACCGAAAUCAAAGUCCUUGCGGGUAGCACUGUAAGGCGGGGUUCGGAGGCACCUGGCAACAGAAGCCUCCACUUCCCGC
rnacentral:tmRNA from 1 species